AUUGAACGCUGGCGGCAGGCCUAACACAUGCAAGUCGAGCGGAUGAAGGGAGCUUGCUCCUGGAUUCAGCGGCGGACGGGUGAGUAAUGCCUAGGAAUCUGCCUGGUAGAGGGGGAUAACGUCCGGAAACGGGCGCUAAUACCGCAUACGUCCUGAGGGAGAAAGUGGGGGAUCUUCGGACCUCACGCUAUCAGAUGAGCCUAGGUCGGAUUAGCUAGUUGGUGGGGUAAAGGCCUACCAAGGCGACGAUCCGUAACUGGUCUGAGAGGAUGAUCAGUCACACUGGAACUGAGACACGGUCCAGACUCCUACGGGAGGCAGCAGUGGGGAAUAUUGGACAAUGGGCGAAAGCCUGAUCCAGCCAUGCCGCAUGUGUGAAGAAGGUCUUCGGAUUGUAAAGCACUUUAAGUUGGGAGGAAGGGCAGUAAGUUAAUACCUUGCUGUUUUGACGUUACCAACAGAAUAAGCACCGGCUAACUUCGUG
rnacentral:rRNA from 1 species